rnacentral:rRNA from 1 species
UAAGUUUGAUGGCGACCGGCGCACGGUGAGUAACACGUAUCCAACCUGCCGAUGACUCGGGGAUAGCCUUUCGAAAGAAAGAUUAAUACCCGAUGGCAUAGUUCUUCCGCAUGGUAGAACUAUUAAAGAAUUUCGGUCAUCGAUGGGGAUGCGUUCCAUUAGGUUGUUGGCGGGGUAACGGCCCACCAAGACUACGAUGGAUAGGGGUUCUGAGAGGAAGGUCCCCCACAUUGGAACUGAGACACGGUCCAAACUCCUACGGGAGGCAGCAUG